AGAGUUUGAUCAUGGCUCAGAAUCAACGCUGGCGGCGUGCCUAACACAUGCAAGUCGAACGAGAAAGUGGAGCAAUCCAUGAGUACAGUGGCGACCGGGUGAGUAACACGUGAUCAACCUACCCUCGAGUGGGGGAUAACUCCGGGAAACCGGAGCUAAUACCGCAUAACAUCUUCGGUCCACAUGAACUGAUGAUCAAAGGAGCAAUUCGCUUGAGGAGGGGGUCGCGGCUGAUUAGCUAGUUGGUAGGGUAAUGGCCUACCAAGGCUUAGAUCGGUAUCCGGCCUGAGAGGGCGCACGGACACACUGGAACUGAAACACGGUCCAGACUCCUACGGGAGGCAGCAGUGGGGAAUUUUGCGCAAUGGGGGAAACCCUGACGCAGCAACGCCGCGUGGAGGAUGAAGUCCCUUGGGACGUAAACUCCUUUCGACCGGGAAGAUACUGACGGUACCGGAUGAAGAAGCACCGGCUAACUCUGUGCCAGCAGCCGCGGUAAUACAGAGGGUGCGAGCGUUGUUCGGAAUUAUUGGGCGUAAAGGGCGCGUAGGCGGCGCGGUAAGUCACCUGUGAAAUCUCCUGGCUCAACUGGGAGCUUGCAGGCGAAACUGCCGUGCUGGAGUGUGGGAGAGGUGCGUGGAAUUCCUGGUGUAGCGGUGAAAUGCGUAGAUAUCAGGAGGAACACCUGUGGCGAAAGCGGCGCACUGGACCACAACUGACGCUGAGGCGCGAAAGCUAGGGGAGCAAACAGGAUUAGAUACCCUAGUAGUCC
rnacentral:rRNA from 1 species